rnacentral:lncRNA from 1 species
GAUUAGAAUAGUGGUUUCUGGACACCGUUUCCACCGGUGACUAACAAUAGUGGUUUCUGGCACUCUGUGCAACCCAUGCCACUGGGUUACGUGGCCGAGCCUAUCAUGUUGAGAUUCUGAUAUCAUAUUUUUGGAAAAAUGAUAAUAAGUUUUGAAAACAACAAAACAAUGUUAUUUAUGAUUUAUUCCAGACAUUAUCCUGUAUUUUGAUCUGAUAUGCUCUGACCCCACUCUGGGGUAUUUUGUUGCUUACUGGGCUAGUGUAGCUCAUUAUUCUGUUUUCUUCAUUUUUCAGAUCCAGAGGCUUGAUCGCACGGAAUUGGGGAGUGCGUUAGAUUUUUCGACGAUUCCUUCAGUUAUUAGUCCUUUAGUUAGAUUGAUGAAAGUAUUUGACUUACGUAAGCAUUUGUUAUUUGAAAUUUUGUAAAACCGCUUUUGAACAAUUUAAAUAAUUAUGUCAGUUUUGAAUAUUUGUAUCUGCUUUGAUAUGAUCCGAUGCCUUGCACGCCUGUGCCCA